AAAGACUGCCUGCAUCCAUCCAUUUUCUCCUAAUAGAUCACAAUUAAGUUAAUAGAACACAAAAAUGGAAUGUUGAGGUUUGUGCAUCAAAUCUCAAUAACUACUUUCCACUACUCUCAAAAGAUUUCUACAAUACAGUACACUUCAAACUUCCUCCUUUAUCCAUAAUGAUUCUCCACUCCAUGAACUGUUUUUAUGAAGCAGCACAAAACCAAUAAAAAGGUUUGUGCAUCAAAACCCAAUACCUACUGUCCACUACUAUCAAAAGGUGAGUGUACAGAGGUCUACAUUAGUUACAAUUUAAUUUACAAUUUAUCAAGCAGUUAAUGUCCCAUGAAUAUAUUUUCAGAUUUCUACAAUAUACUACACUUCAAACUUCAUUCUCCAUUAUGAUUCUCUGCUCCAUGAACUGUUUUUAUGAAGCAGCACAAAACCGAUUAAAAAGGUAAAUUCCAUUGUAUAAUCUGUGCAAAAU
ensembl:lncRNA